GGACCCUUAGUUUAGUUGGUUAAAGCCCCCGGCUCAUAACCGGGUGAUCAUUGGUUCGAAUCCAAUAGGGUCCA
rnacentral:tRNA from 1 species